AUUGAACGCUGGCGGCAUGCCUUACACAUGCAAAUCGAACGGUAACGGGCCUUCGGGUGCUGACGAGUGGCGAACGGGUGAGUAAUACAUCGGAACGUGCCCGAUCGUGGGGGAUAACGAGGCGAAAGCUUUGCUAAUACCGCAUACGAUCUACGGAUGAAAGCAGGGGACCGCAAGGCCUUGCGCGGACGGAGCGGCCGAUGGCAGAUUAGGUAGUUGGUGGGAUAAAAGCUUACCAAGCCGACGAUCUGUAGCUGGUCUGAGAGGAUGAUCAGCCACACUGGGACUGAGACACGGCCCAGACUCCUACGGGAGGCAGCAGUGGGGAAUUUUGGACAAUGGGCGCAAGCCUGAUCCAGCCAUGCCGCGUGCAGGAUGAAGGCCUUCGGGUUGUAAACUGAUUUUGUACGGAACGAAAAGCCUUCUUUUAAUACAGGAGGGUCAUGACGGUACCGUAAGAAUAAGCACCGGCUAACUACGUG
rnacentral:rRNA from 1 species